CAGCUGCUGCUGCACGCUUUUGUUAUUUGUUAACUUAUCAUGCCAUGAGGAGAACAGAAAUCUUAUCCUGCUGAUCAUUUCUUGUUCUCGAAUUCUAAAAUCAAGUACUUGUUUUCUCGUAGCAUUGUUAUUUUGGUUGCGUUAAUUUUUUUUUAAACGAUGUCGAUCGAAGUUGAAAAAAAGAAAGACGGUGUUACUUAUUGUGUGACUUGGAAAACGUUAAAAAGCCUCCUAUUUUCGAACAGAGAAAUCGAUUAAAUGUUCGAACUGAACACCCCAGGAAGCAACUUUUCAUUUAAAGUCUCAUUUACUCACAGUUUUCAGUUCAAUUUUUUAAGUUUUAGCACUGUUUGCAUCGAACUGUGUUUGUCACUAAUCAAAUGCUCGAGCAACAUUUCUAGUCUUUGUGGAGGAAAAGACGCCAUCUUUAAUUGUGACCAUAAUCUGCCUUGCUCUGUUUGGGUUACAAUCAACGAUGAAGAGGAAAGAAGAAUAAAUCUGGAAAAAGCUGUUGGAUUAGAUGAGUGGACUUCAGGAAAAUUUAGUAUUAAAACUUUUGGCAACCCCACCUUCCACCUUUGGUUGCAGUUUGCAAAACAGCUGACGGACACCCAGCAAACUCCAUUAGCCGAAGAUAAGGACAAUGUGAAAGUUCCCAAGUCCAAGGAGUUCUGUCGUGGCAAGCUGAUUGCACUCGAGCAACUGGAGAAAGUGUUUGUCGAGCAAACGAACUGCGAUGUCGAAUUCUUGUUCGAAGACGAGGAGAAAAUCGGUGGUCAUAUUUCCAUCUUGGCUGCCAGAAGUCCCGUUUUCUCUGCCAUGUUUUACCACAACCUUCAAGAGUCCGAGACGGGCAAAGUCUUCGUCCAAGACAUCCGGCCACAGAUUUUCAAGGAGAUGCUACAUUACAUUUACUCCGGCCAGACUUUGGCUCCUUUGACGGACGCCAUCGCUCAACCCCUGUUCGUAGUUUCAGACAAAUACGAUAUCGAGGAUCUGAAGGAGAAGUGCGUUCGUUAUCUGCUGAGAAGCGUUCGGAAGAGUAAUGCCGUUGACUUGUUGGUCUGGGCAAAUCUUCAUUCGGUGGAGAAAAUCCAAGAAGCAACCCUUGACUAUGUGGCUAAAAAUUUCAAAACCAUUUGUCACUCGAAUGAAUGGGAGAACCUGAUGAAGAACUAUCCGGAGCUUGGAUUCCUGGUGACUCAACGCUAUGCAGCUAUUUAAGAAAUACGCCAGCCGAAGAGUUUUGUAUAACUUUAAAUGCGGUUCCAGCGUCACCGCCAAAAUCCACAUGUGUUCACGAUCCUCGCAAUAACAGCACGUACAGCAUGAUACUGGACACUUAAGCAAGAUUUGCUUUUUAUCGCACGGUCAGCUAGUAUGGCAUCCCUGAAUAGUGAUUUUCACGAAAUCUUUUCUUUUGGUGGUUGUUAUUGCCAAUCGAUAAUACGACGCGCUGUAACUAAGGUUGCAGAGAAAUAUUUCAAAAAUAGCCGACUGCUGUCUUUCAAACGGUUUGAAAUGGAAAAUUUAUUCAUUCACCGAAGAAACGAUUCAAAUGACUCAGAUGUCAAUUGUCAUAAAACCCAUCCCCAGCGACGUCAACCUGCAG
rnacentral:misc_RNA from 1 species